rnacentral:snoRNA from 1 species
AUACCAUGAUGAAGAACAUUGGUCCGUGUUUCGGAGGCAGCUUAAGACCCUGCUACACGACGAAGAAACCAGCACUUGUGCAACUCUGACCCU